GAUGAACGCUGGCGGCGUGCCUAAUACAUGCAAGUCGAGCGAACAGACGAGGAGCUUGCUCCUCUGACGUUAGCGGCGGACGGGUGAGUAACACGUGGAUAACCUACCUAUAAGACUGGGAUAACUUCGGGAAACCGGAGCUAAUACCGGAUAUAUCUUGAACCGCAUGGUUCAAUAGUGAAAGACGGUUUUGCUGUCACUUAUAGAUGGAUCCGCGCCGCAUUAGCUAGUUGGUAAGGUAACGGCUUACCAAGGCAACGAUGCGUAGCCGACCUGAGAGGGUGAUCGGCCACACUGGAACUGAGACACGGUCCAGACUCCUACGGGAGGCAGCAGUAGGGAAUAUUCCGCAAUGGGCGAAAGCUUGACGGAGCAACGCCGCGUGAGUGAUGAAGGUCUUCGGAUCGUAAAACUCUGUUAUUAGGGAAGAACAAAUGUGUAAGUAACUAUGCACGUCUUGACGGUACCUAAUCAGAAAGCCACGGCUAACUACGUG
rnacentral:rRNA from 1 species